rnacentral:rRNA from 1 species
GACGAACGCUGGCGGCGUGCUUAACACAUGCAAGUCGAACGGAAAGGCCCUGCUUUUGUGGGGUGCUCGAGUGGCGAACGGGUGAGUAACACGUGAGUAACCUGCCCUUGACUUUGGGAUAACUUCAGGAAACUGGGGCUAAUACCGGAUAGGAGCUCCUGCUGCAUGGUGGGGGUUGGAAAGUUUCGGCGGUUGGGGAUGGACUCGCGGCUUAUCAGCUUGUUGGUGGGGUAGUGGCUUACCAAGGCUUUGACGGGUAGCCGGCCUGAGAGGGUGACCGGCCACAUUGGGACGGAGAUACGGCCCAGACUCCUACGGGAGGCAGCAGUGGGGAAUAUUGCACAAUGGGCGGAAGCCUGAUGCAGCAACGCCGCGUGCGGGAUGACGGCCUUCGGGUAAACCGCUUUCGCCUGUGACGAAGCGUGAGUGACGGUAAUGGGUAAAGAAGCACCGGCUAACUACGUG